rnacentral:rRNA from 1 species
CCUACGGGAGGCAGCAGUGGGGAAUAUUGGACAAUGGGCGAAAGCCUGACCCAGCAACGCCGCGUGAAGGAAGAAGGCUUUCGGGUUGUAAACUUCUUUUGUCAGGGACGAAACAAGUGACGGUACCUGACGAAUACACCACGGCUAACUACUGGCCAGCAGCCGCGGUAAUACGUAGGGGGCAAGCGUGAGCCGGAUUUACUGGGUGGAAAGGGCGUGUAGGCGGGACAGCAAGGCAGAUGUGAAAACCAAGGGCUCAAACUGUGGCCCGCAUUUGAAACUGUAGUUGUUUAGGACUGGAGAGGCAGACGGAAUUCCUAGUGGAGCGGUGAAAUGCGUAGAUAUUAGGAGGAACACCAGUGGCGAAGGCGGUCUGCUGGACAGCAACUGACGCUGAGGCGCGAAAGCGUGGGGAGCAAACAGGAUUAGAUACCCCAGUAGUC